rnacentral:rRNA from 1 species
UACGUAGGGGGCGAGCGUUGUCCGGAUUUAUUGGGCGUAAAGAGCUCGUAGGCGGCUUGGCAAGUCGGGUGUGAAACCUCCAGGCUCAACCUGGAGACGCCACUCGAUACUGCCAUGGCUAGAGUCCGGUAGGGGACCACGGAAUUCCUGGUGUAGCGGUGAAAUGCGCAGAUAUCAGGAGGAACACCGGUGGCGAAGGCGGUUCUCUGGGCAUUACCUGACGCUGAGGAGCGAAAGUGUGGGGAGCGAACAGG